rnacentral:ncRNA from 1 species
AACUUCGGGAGAAGGGGUGCCUACGCAAGUAGGUCGCAGAGAAUAGGCCCAAGCAACUGUUUAGCAAAAACACAGGUCUCUGCUAAAGCGAAAGCUGAAGUAUAGGGGCUGACGCCUGCCCGGUGCUGGAAGGUUAAGGGGAAUACUUAGCGCAAGCGAAGGUAUGAACUUAAGCCCCAGUAAACGGCGGCCGUAACUAUAACGGUCCUAAGGUAGCGAAAUUCCUUGUCGGGUAAGUUCCGACCCGCACGAAUGGCGUAAUGAUUUGGGCACUGUCUCGACAACAAAUCCGGCGAAAUUGUAUUGCGAGUGAAGAUGCUCGCUACCCGCGAUUGGACGGAAAGACCCCGUAGAGCUUUACUGUAGCUUAGCAUUGAAUUUCGGUAUUGUCUGUACAGGAUAGGUGGGAGACUGAGAAGCAAGGGCGUUAGCCUUUGUGGAGUCAACCUUGGGAUACCACCCUGACAGUACUGGGAUUCUAACCGGUGGCCAUGAAACUGGUCACGGGACAUUGUUAGGUGGGCAGUUUGACUGGGGCGGUCGCCUCCAAAAAAGUAACGGAGGCGCCCAAAGGUUCCCUCAGAACGGUUGGAAAUCGUUCGAAGAGUGCAAAGGCAGAAGGGAGCCUGACUGCGACACAAACAAGUGGAGCAGGGACGAAAGUCGGGCUUAGUGAUCCGGUGGUUCCUCGUGGGAGGGCCAUCGCUCAACGGAUAAAAGCUACCUCGGGGAUAACAGGCUGAUCUCCCCCAAGAGUCCACAUCGACGGGGAGGUUUGGCACCUCGAUGUCGGCUCGUCGCAUCCUGGGGCUGAAGUAGGUCCCAAGGGUUGGGCUGUUCGCCCAUUAAAGCGGCACGCGAGCUGGGUUCAGAACGUCGUGAGACAGUUCGGUCCCUAUCCGUCGCGGGCGUAGGAAAUUUGAGAGGAGCUGUCCUUAGUACGAGAGGACCGGGAUGGACUGACCUCUGGUGCACCAGUUGUUCCGCCAGGAGCACAGCUGGGUAGCUAUGUCAGGACGGGAUAAACGCUGAAAGCAUCUAAGCGUGAAGCCCACCUCAAGAUAAGAUUUCCCAUAGCAUAAGCUAGUAAGACCCCUUGAAGAACACAAGGUUGAUAGGUUAGAGGUGUAAGCAUGGUAACAUGUUCAGCUGACUAAUACUAAUAGGUCGAGGGCUUGACCUA